GACGAACGCUGGCGGCGUGCUUAACACAUGCAAGUCGAACGGAAAGGCCCUGCUUUUGUGGGGUGCUCGAGUGGCGAACGGGUGAGUAACACGAGAGUAACCUGCCCUUGACUUUGGGAUAACUUCUGGCAACUGGGGCUCAUACCGGAUAGGAGCUUCUGCUCCAUUGAGGGGGUUGUAAAGUUUCGGCGGUUGGGUAUGGAAUCGCCGGUUAUCCGCUUGCUGGUGGGGUAGUGGCUUACCAAGGCAUUGACGGGUAGCCGGCCUGAGAGGGUGUCCGGACACAUUGGAACGGAGAGACGGCCCAGACUCAAAUCGGAGGCAGCGGUGGAGAAUGGUACACAGUGGGCGGGAGCCUGAUGCAGCGACGCCGCGUGGGGGAUGACGGGAUUGGGGUUGUAAACCGAUGUCGCCUGUGACGGAGAGAGAGUGACGGUAAUAGGUGAAAAAGCACCGGCUAACUACGUG
rnacentral:rRNA from 1 species